rnacentral:rRNA from 1 species
GGAUCCAGACUUUGAUUAUGGCUCAGGACGAACGCUGGCGGCGUGCUUAACACAUGCAAGUCAAGGGGGCCCGCAAGGGUAACCGGCGAACGGGUGCGUAACACGUGAGCAAUCUGCCUAGAUGUGGGGGAUAGCCGGCCCAACGGCCGGGUAAUACCGCAUACGCUCUCUGGCUGGCAUCGGCUGGAGAGGAAACAUUCGUGGCAUCUAGAGGAGCUCGCGGCCUAUCAGCUAGUUGGUGGGGUAACGGCCUACCAAGGCUUUGACGGGUAGCUGGUCUGAGAGGAUGGCCAGCCACAUUGGGACUGAGAUACGGCCCAGACUCCUACGGGAGGCAGCAGUGGGGAAUAUUGCGCAAUGGCCGAAAGGCUGACGCAGCGACGCCGCGUGGGGGAUGAAGCAUUUCGGUGUGUAAACCCCUGUUGCUCGGGACGAACAAUCGGCUUUAGCCGAUCUGACGGUACCGGGUGAGGAAGCACCGGCUAACUCCGUGCCAGCAGCCGCGGUAAUACGGAGGGUGCGAGCGUUGUCCGGAAUCACUGGGCGUAAAGGGCGCGUAGGCGGUCUGUUAAGCGUGCGGUGAAAGCCUGGGGCUCAACCCCAGGUCUGCCGUGCGAACUGGUGGACUAGAGCACUGUAGAGGCAGGUGGAAUUCCGGGUGUAGCGGUGGAAUGCGUAGAGAUCCGGAAGAACACCGGUGGCGAAGGCGGCCUGCUGGGCAGUUGCUGACGCUGAGGCGCGACAGCGUGGGGAGCAAACAGGAUUAGAUACCCUGGUAGUCCACGCCGUAAACGAUGGGCACUAGGUGCUUGGGGGAGCGACCCCCCGAGUGCCGGCGCUAACGCAUUAAGUGCCCCGCCUGGGGAGUACGACCGCAAGGUUGAAACUCAAAGGAAUUGACGGGGGCCCGCACAAGCGGUGGAGCAUGUGGUUUAAUUCGACGCAACGCGAAGAACCUUACCUAGGCUUGACAUGCAUGGGAAAGCCUCUGGAAACAGGGGCCCCUCUUCGGAGCUCAUGCACAGGUGCUGCAUGGCUGUCGUCAGCUCGUGUCGUGAGAUGUUGGGUUAAGUCCCGCAACGAGCGCAACCC